rnacentral:rRNA from 1 species
UACGUAGGGGGCUAGCGUUGUCCGGAUUUAUUGGGCGUAAAGAGCGUGUAGGCGGCCAAGUAGGUCCGGUGUGAAAACUCGAGGCUUAACCUCGAGAUGUCAUCGGAAACCAUUUGGCUAGAGUCCGGAAGAGGAAAGUGGAAUUCCUGGUGUAGCGGUGAAAUGCGCAGAUAUCGAGAGGAACACCUGCGGCGAAGGCGGGUUGCUGGGCUGAUACUGACGCUGAGGCGCGAAAGCCAGGGGAGCGAACGGG